rnacentral:rRNA from 1 species
UACGUAGGCAGCAAGCGUUGUUCGGAAUUACUGGGCGUAAAGAGUGUGUAGGCGGUGCUCCAAGUCUGGUGUGAAAUCUCCCGGCUUAACUGGGAGGGUGCAUUAGAAACUGGAAUGCUAGAGGAUGGGAGAGGUAAGCGGAAUUCCUGGUGUAGCGGUGAAAUGCGUAGAUAUCAGGAGGAACACCUGUGGUGUAGACAGCUUACUGGACCAUUUCUGAUGCUGAGACACGAAAGCGUGGGUAGCAAACAGG